rnacentral:rRNA from 1 species
GACGAACGCUGGCGGCGUGCUUAACACAUGCAAGUCGAACGGAAAGGCCCUGCUUUUGUGGGGUGCUCGAGUGGCGAACGGGUGAGUAACACGUGAGUAACCUGCCCUUUACUUUGGGAUAACUUCAGGAAACUGUGGCUAAUACCUGAUAGGAGCUCCUGCUGCAUGGUGGGGGUUGGAAAGUUUCGGCGGUUGGGGAUGGACUCGCGGCUUAUCAGCUUGUUGGUGGGGUAGUGGCUUACCAAGGCUUUGACGGGUAGCCGGCCUGAGAGGGUGACCGGCCACAUUGGGACUGAGAUACGGCCCAGACUCCUACGGGAGGCAGCAGUGGGGAAUAUUGCACAAUGGGCGGAAGCCUGAUGCAGAAACGCCGCGUGCGGGAUGACGGCCUUCGGGUUGUAAACCGCUUUCGCCUGUGACGAAGCGUGAGUGACGGUAAUGGGUAAAGAAGCACCGGCUAACUACGUG